rnacentral:rRNA from 1 species
AACGAACGCUGGCGGCAGGCCUAACACAUGCAAGUCGAACGCCCCGCAAGGGGAGUGGCGCACGGGUGAGUAACGCGUGGGAAUAUGCCCUUCGGUUCGGAAUAACACAGGGAAACUUGUGCUAAUACCGGAUACGAUCUACGGAUGAAAGAUUCAUCGCCGAAGGAGUAGCCCGCGUAGGAUUAGCUAGUUGGUGAGGUAAUGGCUCACCAAGGCGACGAUCCUUAGCUGGUCUGAGAGGAUGAUCAGCCACACUGGGACUGAGACACGGCCCAGACUCCUACGGGAGGCAGCAGUGGGGAAUAUUGGACAAUGGGCGAAAGCCUGAUCCAGCCAUGCCGCGUGAGUGAUGAAGGCCUUAGGGUUGUAAAGCUCUUUCGCCAGGGAAGAUAAUGACGGUACC